rnacentral:rRNA from 1 species
UACAGAGGUCCCAAGCGUUGUUCGGAUUCACUGGGCGUAAAGGGUGCGUAGGCGGUCGGGUAAGUCUGGCGUGAAAUCUCCAAGCCUAACUUGGAAACUGCGUUGGAUACUAUCCGGCUCGAGGAAUGGAGGGGAGACUGGAAUACUUGGUGUAGCAGUGAAAUGCGUAGAUAUCAUUUGGAACGCCAACGGAGAAAUCAGGCAGCUGGGGGUGUGCUGACGCUGAGACACGAAAGCCAGGGGAGCGAACGGG